rfam:Streptomyces sp. WM6378 P402contig28.1, whole genome shotgun sequence.
GGGACGGUAGCUCAAUUGGCAGAGCAACCCUGCGGGGUUGGAUACGGGUUCGAGUCCCGUCCGUUCAC